AGAGUUUGAUCAUGGCUCAGAGCGAACGCUGGCGGCGUGCUUAACACAUGCAAGUCGAACGGUUGUAGCAAUACAACCGUGGCGAACGGGUGCGUAACACGUGGAUAACCUUCCUUCAGGUGGGGAAUAACCCAGUGAAAAUUGGGCUAAUACCGCAUAACAAGACGAGGGCACAUGCUUUUGUCUUCAAAGGCGCAAGUCGCCAGAAGAGGGAUCCGCGGCCGAUUAGCUAGUUGGCGGGGUAACGGCCCACCAAGGCAAUGAUCGGUAGCCGGAUUGAGAGGUUGGCCGGCCACACUGGAACUGAGACACGGUCCAGACUCCUACGGGAGGCAGCAGUGGGGAAUCUUGCACAAUGGACGAAAGUCUGAUGCAGCAACGCCGCGUGGGGGAUGAAGCUUCUCGGAGUGUAAACCCCUUUCGACCCGGAAGAAAGCCCGCAAGGGUUUGACGGUACGGGUAUAAGAAGCCCCGGCUAACUACGUGCCAGCAGCCGCGGUAAUACGUAGGGGGCCAGCGUUGCUCGGAAUUACUGGGCGUAAAGGGUCCGUAGGCGGUGUGGCAAGUCGGGAGUGAAAUCUCUGGGCUUAACCCAGAGGCUGCUUCCGAAACUGCCGUGCUAGAGUGUGAGAGAGGCGAGUGGAAUUGCGGGUGUAGCGGUGAAAUGCGUAGAUAUCCGCAGGAACAUCCGAGGCGAAAGCGGCUCGCUGGAUCACAACUGACGCUGAGGGACGAAAGCUAGGGGAGCAAACAGGAUUAGAUACCCUGGUAGUCCUAGCCCUAAACCAUCAGACUUGGGGUUUGCCCUGUACGGGGCAAGUCCCGUAGCUAACGCGUUAAGUCCUGCGCCUGGGGAGUACGGUCGCAAGACUGAAACUCAAAGGAAUUGACGGGGGCCCGCACAAGCGGUGGAACAUGUGGUUCAAUUCGACGCAACGCGAAGAACCUUACCUGGGCUUGAACCGCACAGGACCAGCCCUAGAAAAUAGGCCUUCCCGCAAG
rnacentral:rRNA from 1 species